AAACAGGACAGGUGCAGCAGAAAACUGAUGAGCAGCAUCUCAGUUCUUUCAUCCUAAAGGGUUGCUGAACAAUCAAAUUCAGCUGGCUACAGAAAUGAAGAUGGAAAGCCUGUGCUGCCUGGCUGUGGCCUUCGCCUUCUUCCUUUCCUCUCAAAACACUCUGGCUGCUGUAGACCAGAAGUGGCUUUCAGCUAUCGUACAAAACAUAAGGAAUAAGUAUGAACUGGGUGACUCUUACAGCUGGGCUGUAAAUAUUCCAGAGAACCUAGACCCUAGCAGACUGAUGGAAGUUCUUCAGGAUGACCCACCAGACACAGUGGCAAGAGCAGUUUCAAAGGGCGAAGUGUAUCAAGGCAAAAUAAUGAUUGCCACAGCACAGUCAGUCGCACUGUCCCAUGUUCUGGAGAACCUAAAAGUGAACAAAAAAAGCAGUCAGGGCAAUGCCAUCAUAAUCUAUUCUGAAGAAUACCCAAAUAUAAAUGACAAUGACAUUGCUGCCGACAUUAACAAAAUCAUUCAAAACUGGAGAAGUUAUGCUUUUGUAUUUUCUAAAGUAGCUUAUAUUGCUGAUGCUGGUAUACCUGAAAGAGCAGAACUUUUCAAACAGCAGGGGCUCUCAAAAUUCAGGCUUGAAAACAUAUUCCGUUGUUAUGAACCUGGUGGCUCUUUUCAAUGCACAAGCUGUAGCUCUGUUGGGAAUGUUGCAUAUCCAUGUGUUGCAGACACACUGUCAUCAAGUGAUGAGCAAGAUACACGUUUAGAAAAACGCACGCUGGAAGAAACAGAUAGUGAGGAAAACAAAGAAAGUACAGGAGCCGUUUGUAGGUUGAGAAGAGGAGGAAAGGCUAAGAAAGGUGGCAAGGUGGGAAAAGGAGGAAAGGCUAAAAAAGGUGGUAGGAAGGGAAAGGGAGGAAAGGCUAAAA